rnacentral:rRNA from 1 species
GUUAGGAAUAUUGGACAAUGGGCGCAAGCCUGAUCCAGCCAUGCCGCGUGAGUGAUGAAGGCCUUCGGGUUGUAAAGCUCUUUAGUCCACGAAUAUAAUGACUGUAGUGGAAGAAUAAGCCCCGGCUAACUUCGUGCCAGCAGCCGCGGUAAUACGAAGGGGGCGAGUGUUAUUCGGAAUCACUGGGCGUAAAGCGUGCGUAGGCUGUUUUGUAAGUCAGAAGUGAAAGCCCAGGGCUUAACCCUGGAAUUGCUUUUGAAACUACAAGACUCGAAUUCGGGAGAGGAUAGCGGAAUUGUCAGUGUAGCAGUGAAAUGCGUAGAUAUUGACAGGAACACCAGUGGCGCAAGCGGCUAUCUGGACCGAUAUUGACGCUGAGGCACGAAAGCGUGGGGAGCAAACAGGAUUAGAAACCCUGGUAGUCU